GCGGGUGGGAGCAAAGUCCAGUGGUGAAAGCCCGGGGCUUAACUCCGGGAUUGCCAUUGAAACUGGUUUCACUUGAGUGUAGUCGAGGACGGCGGAAUGAGUUGUGUAGCGGUGAAAUGCAUAGAUAUAACUCAGAACACCGAUUGCGAAGGCAGCUGUCUAGGCUACAACUGACGCUGAGGCACGAAAGCGUGGGGAGCGAACAGGAUUAGAUACCCUGGUAGUCCACGCAGUAAACGAUGAUCACUCGUUGCUGGCUACGUAGUAGUCAGUGACUAAGGGAAACCAUUAAGUGAUCCACCUGGGGAGUACGUCGGCAACGAUGAAACUCAAAGGAAUUGACGGGGGCCCGCACAAGCGGAGGAACAUGUGGUUUAAUUCGAUGAUACGCGAGGAACCUUACCUGGGCUUAAAUGCAGGCUGCAUUUCCGCGAAAGCGGAAUUUCCUACGGGACCGCUUGCAAGGUGCUGCAUGGUUGUCGUCAGCUCGUGCCGUGAGGUGUCGGGUUAAGUCCCAUAACGAGCGCAACCCUUAUCGCUAGUUGCCAGCAUGUAAUGGUGGGGACUCUAGCGAGACUGCUGGUGUAAACCGGAGGAAGGUGGGGAUGACGUCAAAUCAGCACGGCCCUUACGUCCAGGGCUACACACGUGUUACAAUGGCCGGUACAAAGAGCAGCCACCUGGCGACAGGGUGCUAAUCUUUAAAGCCGGUCUCAGUUCGGAUCGAAGUCUGCAAUUCGACUUCGUGAAGGUGGAUUCGCUAGUAAUCGCGCAUCAGCCAUGGCGCGGUGAAUAAGUUCCCGGGCAUUGUACACACCGCCCGUCAAGCCAUGG
rnacentral:rRNA from 1 species